rnacentral:rRNA from 1 species
AUGGGCCCUCAACACCCAUCAAUGCAUGGUGUUCUUCGACUGAUCGUUACUCUCGAUGGUGAGGAUGUUAUUGAUUGUGAACCCAUAUUAGGCUAUUUACACAGAGGAAUGGAAAAAAUCGCGGAAAACCGAACUAUUAUACAAUACUUACCUUAUGUAAUAAGGAUAUAG